rnacentral:lncRNA from 1 species
AAUAGAUAAAUCAUAUUUUAAAACCCUUUUCAAUAAUUUAAGAGCAUUUUUGAAUCUAUUUUCGUUCAAAAAAUGCAAGAGUGCCGCAAAAUUUGAGCUUACGACUUGAAACAAUUUUUGAAUCACAUUUAAUUUUCUAGUACACCAAAAGCUUCCCUUAUGUUAAAGGAAAUCAACAAUUAAUAUGUACACAACAACAACAACAAUUAAUAUGUCACAUAUAAAUUAAUUUUUUUUCGAUAUAAAAGGGCUUUAAUUGAAACCCUUAACCAUCAUACCUCCGCUCCCAGUUAUAACAAGUUAUUAUCUCAGUUUUUCAGGUUACUAUAUGAGAUAAUUAUGAAUAGUUAUAUGUUGUAAGACGACCAGAAUCACCAUUUACUCUGAGAAAUUGAAAGUUGAAGUACACAAAGAGUAAUAAAGGAGAUAAUGUAGCAAGAGUAUAAACACAGAACAUAUGAUAUAAUCCACUAAACUGUAACAAAUAGCUGCAUAUAUACUAAAGAUUAAUUUAAUGUUAAAAGUUUAAAAGAUUGAACUCAUAAAACUUAAAUUUUGGAUCCACCUUUGUAUGCAUAUGAAAGAGAGUAUGAAGAAGCUA